GUAGGUAAAUAACAAUAUAGUUUGUAUUCAAUUAAUGAAUUUAAAUUUACAAGAUCAUUCAAUGAAAUCCUCAGUAUUUUUUAAUUCAGGGGGUAGAAAAUCGAUUGUUAAGCAUUUACAACGAUGACAUGAAGUCUUAAAAAUAUUAUUCUCUCAUAUUUAAAUAUAAUAAAAUUAGUAAUUGUUAUUUAUAAAACUAUAAGUAUGUACUUGUAUCAACGUUUAGAUUCUUAACGGAGUGAUGCAUGUUUUGAUUAUACAAUGAUGUAUGUUUUUUUGUGUUUGUGUACACGAUAACUUGUCGAAAUAAUGCUUCAGUUUAAAAUUUUAGGGGUGAUUUCCGGUGGAAAAUUGAAUAACCUUGUUACAUUAUAAAGGUAAAAAAAAGAAGUUUCCAGCAAUUUUCAAAAGCGUCGGGACAACCACAGUUGACUGAAAACAGUCGAUUUGGUAUCAAUCUCUAUAAAGAAUACACAUUUUCUUGUGAAAUUAAACAAUGAUAAUUGCACCUAUGCAUAUUUUAUGAAAGAACAAUUUGGAUAUACGAUUGAACGACCAACCAAAGUCGAGAAUACAUAAUAUAGGUCUGAACAAAAAUUCACGACAUACAAAAAAAAACAAUCACACGUCAAAUUGGUACGACGAUGGUCGAUGUGACGAUCGUGUUGAACAGGGGAGGGAGAGAGUCGAAGUGACAUAAUAAAUGUUUAAAGCGGUUGGUUCCUAUAUGCAGAACGGGCGGCGAACACCUGCCGGUUACGUCGUCGUCGUCAUCGCCGUCAUCGUCGUCGUCGUUCAGGUAAGGCGAUCGGCUUUCGGCGGCGGCGGCGGCGGCGGCGGCGACAGUGGUCGUGUCUACCGACGGCUCGCGGACAGGCGACAGCGGCGCGGGACUGGACGUGCCCGCGGACGACGGGCUGUGCGGUUCGGACGACGACGUCUGCAGCGCGACGGCCGGCCACUGGUUGGCGGUGAUGAUUCGCUCGGACAGCGCCUUGUGCACGGACGACUGGUACGACGCGGCGGCCGCAGUGGCCGACGGCUGGGCGGCGUGAUGAUGGUGCCACGGCAGGCCGAGCAGGAACGCGGACGCGGCCGCCGGGUUGAACACGAUGCUGGGCCAGAACUGUUCGGGCGUGAGGAACGGCAGCGGACCUCCCAGCGCGGGCGCCACUGACAUACAGUCGUUUCUGAACACUAUACGAAAAUGGAGGAAAUUUGAUCCAUUGUAGUCCAUCAAGUACCUACAUAACAUUGGCUAGUACCUAAAGUUUAUUUUCCGCAAAUCGUUGAUACAAUGGGUAAAUGCGUCGAUGUUCUCACCCUCGUAUGUACGCCAAUGGAUAGCGGUGGGGCUCGGCUGUUAUAGGAGAAGCUUUUAUAGCAUUCUCUCAAUUGGUUCAAUUAACGUAAGUUAAAUAUACAUGUAUUUUUAGUUACAAAUAACAUACCUAUUACUUAUUCAAUCUUAUUAUAAUUUAAAAUAAAUCUUUUUGUUUUUUAAGUUUGCGAAGAAUUAAUAGUAACAUUUUCUAACAAAAAAUUAUUUUUUUUUAUGAAUUCAUAGUAAUUCAAAUAAAAAUAUAGGUGUCUAUUUUAUCUGAUGAUAAAUUAAUAUGCUAUAAAUAAUAUUAUAAAGUUAUGCACGUACAAAACAUUUUGUAGAAGUUUUAAAAAACACUGAGGUGAUCAAGUCACAUUCUCCCUAAAUUGUGUUCUCAAAAAUAUUUUUGUCAAAUAAUAGUAAUGAUUACCUACAUUUAUUAUUAACAUAUUAACAAAAUACAGUAUGUAUUAUUAUUUAUUUUUAUUUUUAUUUAUUCUUCAAGAAGAUAAUGGGCCCCACUAAACAUGUAUAUAUACUACAUCUAGAUACCUAUAGUAUUUUAUAAAUAUAUAGUUAUUGGUAACUCACACGUGUGGUCAGGUAUGUAUGGAUUGGAUUCUCUGCCCAUUGAUUUUUCUCGUUUUCUCCAUUUAGCUCUACGGUUUUGAAACCAUACCUAUGUAUAACAAAGACAUAAUUAUUAUAUGUAUGGCACUUAUACAUUUUGAUUAUAUAGUUAAGUAUUAAAAUUACAAAUUUAUUCAAUACCAACACGUAUUUAUGUAGUAGCUGAAUAAUUUUUACUAGUAAAGAGGAAUCCUUAUUUUACAUCAAGAGUCAAUAAUAAAAAAUAUAAUAUGAUCACAGUGUUAUAAAUUAUAAUGUUCGAUGGAAAUUUCAUAAAAACAUGACAUUUCGUUCUGAAAUGUUUACGCAUGAUGUAAUAAUAUUUGUAAUAAUAAUGCUGAUUAUUACGAUGAAUGAUGGUGUGAUAGGAAAUUAUAAUUUAACCAUGAUUUACGAAUUAAUUUUUUACCCACACAAUACAAUAAAUAUUGAAAAAGAAACUAAUAAUAUAUCUAUUUAUUUCAUAUUUUAUUUAAUAUAUUAUGUAGGUAUAUUGUAUUAUAAUUAAAAUAUAGGUAUAUUACACUGUAAUUGUUUUUCAAUAUUUCAUUAAAUUUAUUGAAUAAUAGGUAUAUAAUAGCAUGUUUAUAGAAAUUGUGUAAGAGUAAACAUAAAAUAGGUCAAUACUCUAUUUAAUAUAAAAAAGCAAAGUAUAUUCUUGGAAGAAGUAGAAAAGACGAAGAAUACACUUAAAUGAAAAAAUGCAUUUUUGGUGAAAACGUACAUACCUAUAAAUAUAUUCUGGGUAUAAUAGGUAACUAUGUUAUGUAUAAUGUAUAUAGUGUAUACACACUGAAAAAAAUAUAAUAUUAUUAAUCUCUCUAAUUACAGACGAUUAUGUUUCAGAUACUACUUACACCCUCCUACCGACCUACUAAAGUACCGAAUACUGUAUAUCAUGCGAACUCACGCUAGCCAUUGGAGAUUGUUUAUCGCGUAUUAUAUAAUUAAUUUAGUUUGGCUUAACGGCGCGUGUGCUUGGAAACUAAAAGUAAGAGGGUAUGUUUAUUAUAUGUGUAUACCGAUAAAUAUAGAGAGAGGGAUGGAAAAAUCCUUUUUUUAUUGGCUAGGUUAAAAUAUUGACAAUACACUUAAAACGGGAGUUUAAUAAACUGGUGGAUCGGUGGAAGUUUCGGCACCCGAAGGCCAUUGUAGAGCGAUCCGGUGGCGUCGACGGCAGUGGUGUAGGAGGAGGAGGAGGGUUAAUGCUCUAUUUGGACGUCCGAUUGGGGUUGAUUGUGCGCGUCGCGCGCGUACAAGGGUGUGUUGUGCAACACAAUAGGACUCCCCCUAUGCACAUAGGCCACACGAACAAUGCACUUAAAUGAUCGUUAGGAAAUUAGGGAGAUGUUAAAUCGGUUGUCGAGAAAUUGCACCCCAAUUAACUUGUAAUUCAUUACCAGGGAGACCGCGCGCGCCGGGUUUUAAGUCCAUCUCAAUUGGUUUAUUGAAUCGUUUAAAGAGCGAGACAAUCUACGGUACAGGCGGUGAGCAGAGGGCCUAAGCAAUAGAAAAAUGAGUGAGUGAGAACGUGACUUAUAGUGGGAAGGGAGAGGAAGAGAUUUACACGUAUAUAAUGUAGAGAUUUUGUAGCCUCUUUCUCUUUUUUUUAACGUCUUUGUGUGUCCGCUAAGUGUUCUGUGGUACACAAUUAGCGCGGUGUGUUUUAGUGCGGCUGUAAACUCGAAAGAAAAAAAAAUCUAUUAAUCUCCUUUCAUUGUUUUCCACUGCUUUUGGAAUAUUAUUUAAGUCUCGCGUAGUCGAUGUGGUGGAUUUCAAUUAAGCUGUUCCGCGUGCGAUUCCGGAACAAAAGGACAUAUAGCCAUACGAGCAACUAUACACAAUUAAGACCCGAAACGGAAUAUCUGCAGCAAAGGCGGCCGUAAAAGACAAAUAAUUAUAAACAAAAUACAUUUUACGCAGUGACAAUAAUGGUCUAAACUUUAUCCAUAUGACCUAACCAAUGAACUACAAAUUGGAGUAUUAAAAAAUAACUGAAAGUAUACAAUCUAUUAUACAUUAUAAUUAUUACAUUUUAAUUACAUUAUAAUUAUUUAUAACUGGUCGCUUCCUUAGUUUAUUUUAGUACUUAUACUAGUUAUACUCGUAGUUGUCAUUGCCUUGUCACCAAUCCCUAUAAAAUGUAUCACUCCAGUGACCACUGACCUCACGUCAGCCAUACAGUCUUUGAUUUGAAAUUCUAAGCUUCAAUAUUCAUGAUUAUUAUUUAUUAAAAUGAAUCUCUUUAUUAUCUCGCAUGUAAGUUAGUCUGUAUAUUUGAUAUAUUUAUAGAAAAACAAUAAAAUAUUUCUUAUAAAAUUUGAUAUUGUAUUUUAUUAUGUUAUGAUCAUUAGUCUCGUGCAGACAGCCAAACCUUAUGGUCACGUAAUUAUCGUUUAAUUAUCAUGUUAAAAUUAAUCACCUUAAUUCUACUGGAUUUUUUCGGUUAAACAACUACUCAU